GAUGAACGCUAGCGGCAGGCCUAACACAUGCAAGUCGAGGGGUAGAGUUCUUCGGAACUUGAGACCGGCGCACGGGUGCGUAACGCGUAUGCAAUCUACCUUAUACAGGGGAAUAGCCCAGAGAAAUUUGGAUUAAUGCCCCAUGGUAUUAUAGAGUGGCAUCACUUUAUAAUUAAAGUUCCAACGGUAUAAGAUGAGCAUGCGUCCCAUUAGUUAGUUGGUAAGGUAACGGCUUACCAAGACAAUGAUGGGUAGGGGUCCUGAGAGGGAGAUCCCCCACACUGGUACUGAGACACGGACCAGACUCCUACGGGAGGCAGCAGUGAGGAAUAUUGGUCAAUGGGCGCAAGCCUGAACCAGCCAUGCCGCGUGCAGGAAGAAGCAUCUAUGGUGUGUAAACUGCUUUUAUACAGGAAGAAACAACUCUACGUGUAGAGUCUUGACGGUACUGUAAGAAUAAGGACCGGCUAAACUCCGUGCCAGCAG
rnacentral:rRNA from 1 species